rnacentral:rRNA from 1 species
GACGUAGGGCGCGAGCGUUGUCCGGAUUUAUUGGGCGUAAAGAGCUCGUAGGCGGCUUGUCGCGUCGACCGUGAAAACUCACAGCUCAACUGUGAGCUUGCGGUCGAUACGGGCAGGCUCGAGUUCGGUAGGGGAGACUGGAAUUCCUGGUGUAGCGGUGAAAAUGCGCAGAUAUCAGGAGGAACACCGAUGGCGAAGGCAGAUCUCUGGGCCAUUACUGACGCUGAGGAGCGAAAAGCGUGGGGGAGCGAACAGG